CUCUCCUGCACACACCCUGGGUAACUCAGCCUCCUGCCUACGUGGAGGUGUGUGGGUAAAGCGACUGUUGCCUCUUGCAGCACCCUCUCCAGAAGGCUGCAGGUUGUGGAGGAGGGCAGAUGCCCCACGUCUGAGCACCUUCCAGGUCCUCCGAAAAAGUCCUGCUAGACACACGACCAAACCAGACUAGCCUAGAGGACAGUGGCAUGUCAAUAAUGUGGCUGAUUAAGAGAAGAGGAAAAUAACAAUUAGUAGUUCAUUUUCAUCGUGGCAAAAAGGCUCCAUCUGGUGGUGUUUUCACCCAGAAAAGAAGCCGAAGGGAACGGUCUUCUCUGCAGAGCCUUGGCCUGGAGCUGCCGCCGUGCCGGCCGCAGAGGGAGAGGGAAGUUGGAGCCCGGGAAGGAACAACAGCAGAACAGGAGAAGGCAUCCUGCCCACGCCGAGGGAGCCGGUGGCCUUACCUGGAGGCUAUCCUGGUGAAGUACUCGUAGGCGUUAUCCUUGGUGGGCUGCAAGGAUUUCAGCAUGUAGCGAAACUCCGCGUCG